GAAGGUGAGGACCACCUGGCUGUGACAUCUGUCCCCCUGGUGGUCACCAGGGUGGACUCUGCGGGUCUGGCUGGCUGGGCGGGUGUCCUCGCCCCCCCCACCGGCUCUGCUGGCCCAAAGGAUGUCCUUCCUGAUAGAGGAGGGACUUCCUCAGUCAAGAGCAUGGGACUCUGCGCUCCCCGCCGGGACCCCAAGUGCCGCGACGUCCGCAGAAUGGGGGCUGCCGAGCUUCCAAGGCCCCAGAUGCUUCCAGCCGAGGCACAGUCCGUGGCUGUCUGCCUGUCUU
rnacentral:snRNA from 1 species